AACGAACGCUGGCGGCAGGCUUAACACAUGCAAGUCGAACGCCCCGCAAGGGGAGUGGCAGACGGGUAGGUAACGCGUGAGAAUCUACCUAGUUCUACGGAACAACACAGGGAAACUUGUGCUAAUACCGUAUACGCCCUACGGGGGAAAGAUUUAUCGGAAUUAGAUGAGCCCGCGUUGGAUUAGCUAGUUGGUGGGGUAAUGGCCUACCAAGGCGACGAUCCAUAGCUGGUCUGAGAGGAUGAUCAGCCACACUGGGACUGAGACACGGCCCAGACUCCUACGGGAGGCAGCAGUGGGGAAUAUUGGACAAUGGGCGCAAGCCUGAUCCAGCCAUGCCGCGUGAGUGAUGAAGGCCCUAGGGUUGUAAAGCUCUUUCAGUGGGGAAGAUAAUGACGGUACCCACAGAAGAAGCCCGGCUAACUUCGUGCCAGCAGCCGCAGUAACAC
rnacentral:rRNA from 1 species